rnacentral:rRNA from 1 species
GCUUAACACAUGCAAGUCGAGCGGUAAGGCCCUUCGGGGUACACGAGCGGGAAACGGGUGAGUAACACGUGGGUGAUCUGCCUCGCACUCUGGGAUAAGCCUGGGAAACUGGGUCUAAUACCGGAUAUGACCAUGGGAUGCAUGUCUUGUGGUGGAAAGGUUUACUGGUGCGAGAUGGGCCCGCGGCCUAUCAGCUUGUUGGUGGGGUAACGGCCUACCAAGGCGACGACGGGUAGCCGACCUGAGAGGGUGAUCGGCCACACUGGGACUGAGACACGGCCCAGACUCCUACGGGAGGCAGCAGUGGGGAAUAUUGCACAAUGGGCGGAAGCCUGAUGCAGCGACGCCGCGUGAGGGAUGACGGCCUUCGGGUUGUAAACCUCUUUCGACAGGGACGAAGCGCAAGUGACGGUACCUGUAGAAGAAGCACCGGCCAACUACGUGCCAGCAGCCGCGGUAAUACGUAGGGUGCGAGCGUUGUCCGGAAUUACUGGGCGUAAAGAGCUUGUAGGCGGUUUGUCGCGUCGAUUGUGAAAUCUUGCAGCUCAACUGCAAGCCUGCAGUCGAUACGGGCAGACUAGAGUACUUCAGGGGAGACUGGAAUUC